rnacentral:rRNA from 1 species
AUGGCGCAUGAAAGCAUUGAGCUACCUUCAGCGACUCCAGUCGCAAAGGCUUUCAUCCACCUCGAUGAGCCAAAAGCACAUGCUCUUCUCGGCGAUGGCUCCGGGAAGGACAAGACUACGGGGUGGUGCCUCGACACCGGCGCCACCCACCACAUGACCGGUCGAAGGGAAUUCUUCGCCGAGCUCGACUCCGAUGCGCGAGGCUCCGUCAAGUUCGGGGAUGCCUCCGCUGUGGAGAUAAAGGGCGUCGGCUCCGUCAUCUUCACCACCAAGACGGGAGAGCACCGGCUGCUCACCGGUGUCUACUACAUCCCUGCGCUAAGGAACUCCAUCAUCAGCUUGGGACAGCUGGAUGAGAACGGCUCAUGCGUGCUGAUUGAGCAUGGGGUCCUACGCAUCUGGGAUCGCUAG